UACGGGGGGGGCAAGCGUUGUUCGGAAUUACUGGGCGUAAAGGGCUGGUAGGCGGCCAACUAAGUCGGAUGUGAAAUCCCCAGGCUCAACCUGGGAACUGCAUCCGAUACUGGCAGGCUUGAAUCCGGGAGAGGGAUGCGGAAUUCCAGGUGUAGCGGUGAAAUGCGUAGAUAUCUGGAGGAAUACCGGUGGCGAAGGCGGCAUCCUGGACCGGCAUUGACGCUGAGGAGCGAAAGCCAGGGGAGCAAACGGG
rnacentral:rRNA from 1 species